UAAACAUAAAAACAUAAAAAAACACAAAACAAACAACAUUCAACAAAACGUAUCAUCUUUUCAAGUGUCUGUCGUCCACCUUUUGGCAAGUGGCAAAAGAAUCAUCACAUUCUUCUGAAACCGUUACAAAUCAAGCUUUAGGCUUGAGAACCUUAACAGUCUCCCAGGUGAAGUCAGGAUCCUCACGACCAAAAUGUCCAUAAGCAGCAGUCUUCUGGUACCUAAAGUUUCCACCUCUCUUCAAAUCAAGGUUGAUAGCCAUCAUCCCUGGCCUGAAGUCAAAGUUCUCCUUGAUCAAAACAAGAAUAUCCUUAUCCGGAAUAGUCCCAGUCUUGUAAGUGUCCACAAACACUGAAAGAGGCUCAGCCACACCAAUAGCAUAAGACACCUGCACAAUGCACCUACGUGCAAGUCCUGAUGCCACAAUACUCUUAGCUGCUUGCCUAACAAUAUAAGCACCACUUCUGUCCACCUUAGUUGGAUCUUUCCCUGAGAAAGCACCACCUCCAUGAGCUCCCCAUCCUCCGUAUGUAUCAAUAAUAAUCUUCCUCCCGGUCAAACCCGCAUCUCCAUGGGGUCCACCAAUCACAAACCUCCCAGAUGGGUUCAAGUGAAAGAUGGUGUUGUCAUCAAGAUACUGAGCUGGGAUCACAGGCUUAAUCACAUGCUCCUUAAGAUCAGCAGCAAUCUGGUCGUUGGUAACAGUCUCAUCAUGUUGAGUUGAGAUCAACACAGUGUGGACCCUGGUUGGGACCAUGGCACCGUUGUCGUUAUGGUACUCAACGGUGACCUGGGUCUUGCCAUCGGGUCUGAGCCAUGGGCAGGUGUUGUUCUUUCUGACCUCAGUCAGCUUAGCACCAAGCUUGGUUGCAAGGACAUGGGUGAGUGGCAUGAGCUCUGGGGUUUCAUCGGUGGCAUACCCGAACAUGUGACCUUGGUCACCAGCACCAAUGUCUUCUGGCUUCUUGGUGAGAUGACCGUGGACACCUUGGGCAAUGUCGGGGCUUUGUUGCUCGAUGUUGACCAACACCUUGCAGUUGUCAGCAUCAAGACCGACAUCAGCGGAGGUGAAUCCGAUUUCUCUGCAUGUGUCACGGACGAUCUUUUCGUAGUCCACGGUAGCUUUGGUGGUGAUCUCACCGAAAACCAUCACCAUGUUGGUCUUGGUGCAAGUCUCACAGGCGACCUUGCUUUCAGGGUCUUGUUCUAGGCAGGCGUCCAAGAUGGCAUCUGAGACUUGGUCGCAGAGUUUGUCUGGGUGUCCUUCGUUGACAGACUCGGAUGUGAAUAGGAAGGUCUCCAUCUCUUAACUGAAACAAGCAAGAUAGAAAAGAAUUUAGUGUGGGAGAAGUUAUCAAUUUGUUGUGUUAUGAUAUUGUAGUAAACAAUGUUACAGAUCCAUAAUGUUCUCUUCACAUAAUUGUUAAAACAAGUAGCAUAAUUGAAGUAGAUAUCAGAGAUCAGUAAUAGUCUAGUGAUAGCAACAUGAUCUGCUACAAACCUAGAGUUAGGAUUUUUUUUAUCCGAAAACAGUUGGUUUGACACUUGACAGCAAACAAUGAAAAAGGGAGACGAUCUAUUUUAACUAAUGGGGUACGAAUUGAUAAGGUUGAUUUUGGAGUCAAUCUAUAUAAGGAAAACUCAUGGAUGCUUAUUUGUUCUGAGUUACAAGUUCUGACACGUACUAUUGAGAUAAAUUGGGUUUAAAUGGCAAUACAGAUGAAAAAGUAAGUCAUAAACGACAAGAUCUGUCAUCUAGCAAUGGAAAUUACACUAUUCCUGAACAACUAAUCAACAAUAUUUCAAAUGAGUACACAAAAGAACAAAAGAUCUUCGCGCCGACACCAGCAAAAACAAAUGAGGGACAGAUUUAUCAUGCAAUUUACACAUUUAAAGCUACAGGAGCAAUAGAUCGAAGUAGCGUUUAUUCAGAUCUAACAAUUAAGCAUAAAGUAAACGAAUCACAAGUAAAAGAACUUUAGGGAUAAGAUCCAAGAUCUGAAAUAAAGAAUAGACGUAAACAGAUCUACAAGUUCAGGCCAGAAAUGCAGUCGAAACGAAGUUCAAUAGAUGUGAUUCGAAGAAAUGGUUCGUACCUCUUUUGGGCUGGAGAGAAAAAUAUCAAAAUCUUCAGAUCCAGAGAGAGAUUUGGGGAAGAAUGAGAGAGAGACGAUUUGGUAACAAGUAAGUGGGUAUGAAUUUAUAGGUGCGAAUGGGAUGGGAUGCGCGUUGUACAGCGAGAAACCACCAACCCUUUGGAUGUGGACCCCUCACCAACCCCCUUGCGUGGGUCCCUUUCACCAACCAUUAUCCACCAUCGCGUAAAAAAAAAAUCAACUUACGUUUUAACCUAAACAAGAGUAGGAUUUAUAUCAACUAUCAAGUUAACCGAGUUCUUAAAUCAAAUAUGGGAUGUUUUUAAGAUUGUUUAUUGGAAAUACUAAUCGAUUUAUUCUAUUAUUGUUUGACACUGGUAACAAAUUACAGAAAAAUUAAAAUUUUAUUGACUUGAAUAAAAACUUCUUGAUAAUUUUUUUCUUGUUUAGCUGUGAAGUUUGAUUCGUCGUUUAAUUUUAUAGCUGCUUGGGGGACUAAGCAUAGGUUCUGUUUAGUUGUGCAGUUGAUUCACCAUUUGAUUUUGUAGCUGCUCGAUGGACUAAGCAUAGGGUCCUUAUCCACAAAUUCGAGGUAUUUUCAUUAUAUACAUUGUUAUUUUGAAUUCUCGUAGCCUAAACAAGUUAAAAUAAUAGAAUUGUAAUUCAGCACUACAAAUAAAAUAUCUCUCUCUCUCUUCGGUAGUUGUAGUUGAUCAAUUUGAUCGUGUCAACUAUUUAAAUACUAUGUUGUUUUUCAUUUCAAUUAUUACUAUGUGUAUAGAUUCAUUAAUCGUUUGUUAAAAUGCUUAAAACUUAACAACUUUUUUUUUAUUGAUUAAUUUAAAUAACGAGUUUUUGAUAAGUUACUUGUUAAUUACAAUACUAAAUAGACUUUGUUAAACAAUAAAAAGUAAGUUAUCAAUUUAUUAUGUUUUGGUAGAUAUGAGAUUUAGAACUGAAAAGUCGGACUAGAACCAGAACCAUUAGAACCCGUAUUGUUUCCUAGUGGGAUGUCAAGCCACCAAACAAAUUAUACUCUUUUGCUUGCAAAUAAAAUGUAAUAUAAUGGUAAAAGGGAGAUCGAUCCACAGAGAAAUGGCUCUAUUCACCAUCAGUAAGAGAGGUGGUUGCAUACACUUCUGCGGAUGAGGAGGCUGGUCGCGCAAUGACAUCAGUAGGUACCCGGUUUUAAGACAUUUUGGAGCUAUAACUUGUGUGGGUGAGGUCUGAGGCACACAUCCAUGCACAGGUGGGUGAGGUUGGCCGCACAAAUUGCUAAAAUUUUGAGAUUUUCCACACACGCUAGCCCAUAAGCCCCAAAUUUCUCCCAAACUUUAAAUGGAGGUUAUUUAUUCACAAUGCAUUUAUUUAAUGUCUUUGCCAAGACAUGGUCCGUCUUCUUUUAGUCUUCAUAAACGAGGAUCUCCAAUGUUAUGUUGUCGAAUUCUCUUGUGUCAAUUCCUUCAUAAAACGGUUACAGAUGGUCUCCAUUCACUUUGAAGAUUUGAUUUGUUUUCAAACUCUUAAUUUCAACCACACCAUGAUCAAACAUUUAUAUAACUAUAAAAGGUUCAUGCUAUUAAGAUCACAAUGUUCCUGGAAUUAGCUUUAAUGUGAAUGAUAAAGGGCAGGGCCGGUCCAUUAAAUUUCAAUGUCCGGGGCAAGAAAGUAAAUUAAUGCCCUAACAUUUCUAAACAAAAUUAUAUAGGAAAAGCGAAAUAAAUUUUAUAGUCAAACUAAAUGACAGUUAUACAAACAAAAGCAUACAAACGGUGUCAUUUUACAUUUUUUUUGAAGAAAAACAUAUGUUAUUUGAUGAUAAGGAAGACUUCAUAGACAUUGACUUUCAAUACUUCUUUCCGCCAGCUAUCCAGAACCAAAACCUAUACAAAAAAACAUAAAAUGGUCUUGCAGAAAUUGAGAAUCAACAUCACAUUUUCUAAAAUAUGAUACAUCAAAGUUUCAUAAAUUAAAAUAACUUAUCCGAUUAUUCAGAAAAACCAUAUCACAUUUUUCAGAUAUUAAAAAAAAAAAAUUAAUUAGUUGUUCAAAAACAGAUUUCACAUAUGACAUUAGAAUUUACAUAACAGAUUUUCAGAAAUCUAAUACAUCAUAUUUUAAGAAAUUAAAAUAACUUAUCAGAUUUUAAGAUACAUGAGAUCUUCAUAUACAUCAAAUUAUUCAGAAAAACUAUAUCAUAUUAUUAAAAAAAAAACAGAAUAUGUCAAAAUUUCAAUAUCAAAAACACAUCAUACUAUUUAGAAAAAAAAACAGUUACCUCAUAAAUUUAAGAAAAUCUCAUUAGAAAAAACCUUAUAAAAGUCAAAAGAAGUUGAAGGAAAAAAUUACCUCAAAAAUUAAUGAAGCCUAUAACAGUUAUGGAUCAACAAGACUACAACUUUAAUCGAUAACUUCACUUCACCUGCAACCUAUAUAAGCAAAAUUGAUAUUUUAAAAAAUUUAAAUAAUAAUCAUUAUAAUAUUUUCUCAACUUCAAGUUAUGAAAGAAAUUUCAAAAACUAGAAAAAACUUACUGAUUAAGACUUUUGGAAGACUAAUUCAUUCAAUGACCCCUUUAAAUCUUCACUUUAACAUGCCCGGUUAUAGAUUUAGAGCAGUGGAUGACUGUUUGAAACUUUAGCAAUUCACAAAAUUCUUAUAAUUUGAAUAUAUUAAUAGGAGAUAAACAUAUUAGAGGAAAAUAUUAUGGAGAAUAAUAGGAUACUAGAUGAAACUAUUCAGAACAAAAACGAAGGAGUAUAAGAGGAACGACCGAGCGAGGGUGAAAGAAGAGAACUGUUAGUUUACCUCAGACUAGAUCAAUUGUCUUUUUCCAGAAGCAAACACUUUGUCUUCUACACCUUCAAUGAUUAGGUGUGGUUGUUGCUCAGAUCGAGAAACCUGAAGCGUGCUGAAUCGAUUUUUCAGUUGGCGCCUAAUUAGGAUGACACUAACUUUUUCCCGCUGCCCUUCUUUGACACGGAGUGGACCUGUUACUAUGUGGCCCAAGUAUAAUAAUACCUAUAACAGUCCAUGAAAAAUUGACCCCCUAUUAGGAUUUGUUGCCCUAGGAUUUGUUGCCCUAGGCUCAACAACAAUUUCAUCAUCUUCUUCUUGUGAGGCUCUUUGAGGUUGCUUUCUGUAACAUCCCAAAAAUACAGGCCAAAAUUUUCAUUUUUAAAUAUGUCAUUAUAAAACCAACAUUGUAAUAAAACAUCCGUAAUAUCAUGUCAUGUCAAAACCAAAGUAGAAAUAAUCAAACGUGUUAUCAUAAAAUAAUAUCAGAGUGCAAUCCCCAGGAUCUCAUUGCGGAAAACCAUAGUGUGAUGCGCUGCGAUCAAGCCAGCUCCUUUCCUUUAAACAUGAAAUACCUGAAACCAAAACUGAAAACCGUAAGCACGAAGCUUAGUGAGUUCCCCCAUCAUACCACAUAACACACAAUCACAUAACAUACAUACUGCCAGGCAUUUCUGGGGUGCCCGACCUACCCGGUACGACCUUUCUAGGGUGCCGACCUACCCAUGCGGCCAUUCUGGGGUGCCGUCCUACCCAUGUCAAGCCAUUCUGGGGUGCUGANNNNNNNNNNNNNNNNNNNNNNNNNNNNNNNNNNNNNNNNNNNNNNNNNNNNNNNNNNNNNNNNNNNNNNNNNNNNNNNNNNNNAUUCUGGGGUGCUGACUACCCAUCGGUCCUAACAACCGAUCCUCGGGGACUAUUUCACCCCCUACUGCUACUAUCACAUAUAUCAUAACAUAACAUAUUAUCAGACAUAUCUGGGGUGUCCGAUCUACCCUUCGGUCCUAACGACCGAACUUGGGGACUAUUCCCCUCCUACUACCACUAUCACAUAUAACAUAUCAUGCCAGCAUAUAAACAUAUCAUCACAUACUGUCAGACAUAUCUGGGGUGUCUGACCUACCCUUCGGUCCUAACAACCGAACUCUACUACUAUCACAUAUACAUAUCAUGCCAGCAUAUAACAUAUCAGGUAGUAGCAAACCUAGAUGAUAUCACAAAGACAAUCAUCUAACAUACAACUCCUACUGGUGGGCCGACAUUGUGGCCGUAGACCCACCGCUACUGGAAGGUAACUCACCUCACACUGCUGAAGUCCCGUAGACACAAUCCCACACUGCUGAAGUCCCGCAGACUCAACCCCAGCUGCUGGAUGACAGAUUCCCGAUCUGUCAAUAUCAAAACAUCACCCAAUUAAUAAUUGGGUCCCACUACAUAACCAUAAACACUUACUUUGGAUAAUUACAUUACCCCAAGCUUGGCUUAUUCAAGCCCAAGGCCCAAUCCGUAGGCCUAAAGUCAACUAGAAAUCAAAGCCCAACACAUGGCCCAAUUUUCCAAAUUGGGCCUAGGCCUAUACAUGGUCUCAUUAUAAGGCCCAACAUCAUAUAAUCAUUAAGGCCCAACUAUGGCCCAUCUAUGGCCCAAUUUUCCAAAUUGGGCCUAAGCCCCUUACAUGGGCCUUACCCCAGGCCCAUUAAAUUAUUCUAGUUCAUUGGCUUGACUUUGGAUGGCCCAUUAAUUACCCAACCCUCAAGGCCCAAAAGAAAGGCCCAACAAUAAACCCAAGUGAAAUUAGGGUUUCACAUAAAAUGAUGAUUAGGGUUAAGUUUCCGACUUGACCCAUUAAGGACUUAAUCCAUUAAGUCCAUUAUCGCUUAGAUUAAUCUUUGCCAAAGUUCAUUAUUUAAUAUCUCAAGUUAUUAAAUAAUUCUUGUGUGUGUGACCUGAUUAAUUCUUAAAGUUAGGGUUUCAUUGGCAUUAGGGCUUUCCAAACCCUAAUUAGGGUUUCCAACCCAUAUACUAGCCCAUUUAUUUAUUUGUUGGGUUUUUAGAUCAAUUAGGGCUUUAUGGAGCCUAUUAAGCCCACUAAAAUAAUAUUAAGCCCCUUAGGGUUUCAUUAGGUCCAUUAGAGUCCAUUAAGUUUCAUUGGGCCCAUUAGAGCUCCUUUGAGCCCAUUAGGGUUUCUAGCACCCCGAACGAAUCUAUCACGAGAGACAAAGCGCACCGCCACCCGACACGGCGGCCNCAGCCACCACCUCACGGUGGUGGUUAUGGUUUCUUUCUCAUUAUUCCAUUUCCUUUUACAAUUUACAAUGAAAUACCAAAGUACACACACACACACACACCCUAACUAAUGUAAACACACAUACAUGGCGGUGUAUGGUGGCAGCCACCACCUCACGGUGGUGGCAGUGGCGGCUCUUGAUUUUCCGACCAAAAUAGAUCACACACAACACACCCACACUCUUUCCUUUCUUGCAAACGGGUCCAGCCACCCUCCUGGUGGCGGUUGGCGAUGGUAUAAGUACAAAACGACGGCAGUAGAAGAUGGAGGUGGGACCGCUGUGGAUGUGGUGACGAUAUAGCCAUCGGAGGACGUCAUCGAAAGGAACAGUCGCGACAUCCGGUGACAACAUCGUCUUCAACGAAAGCAGAAUCGACCUACGAUCCCAUACCCGGUCUUCGACGGCUCUCCAUCGGCUGCCCACGACGUCACCAACAACGGCUGUGUCGUCUAGAUGGCAAAGCAGAGGUCACAGUCGGCUGGAACUCGCCGGUCACUCUUGAUCGGAACAACAAAUAACGGUGGCAGGAAGCGGCGAAGCGAGUUGUAACAGCAGCAACGGAUGGUUCCGUCGGUCGGGAAACGAGUUUGAAGGGGUGGCGGCGGCUGGUUGGUUAACAGCUCUCACCGGCGGCAACGGCUUCGACUGGAGACGGCGGGGAUUUUGGCGUCCACAAAAAUCGGUGGAGAUGGGUGGUGCGACGUCGAGGAGGGUGAAGGAGGGUGUAGAUGAAGUUGGCGGCUGAACAAAUGAGGCUAGGGAUAGGGUUACCGGGGGUGACGGUUUAUAUACCCCGAUCCUCGUAACUUCUUUUCAUAAUUCCAAGUUUAGCCCCUCCAUCCAAAUAUCAUUACAAUAUAAAUCCCAUAUUUACCUUUUAAACCCUGCCCUUCAAUUCUCUUUCAAAAGAAAUCCAAAACUUACAUUUUAGCCCUCCCUUCUAUGAUUCCUUACAAAAUAAAGCCCCUAAUUUACAAUACAACCCCUAAGCCUCUAAAAUCCCUUCAAAUGAAGUCCAGAAGUUACAAUUUAGUCCCUGACUUCAUUAAUACUUACAAAUUAAAUCCAUAUUUUACACUUUUAACCUCCAUCUUCUAAACUUGUGACAAUUAGCUCCUCAAUACCAUCCUUUGAUAUGUAAUUAUUUAUUUUAGGGCUACCAUUUGUUCAUUAAUUUAGUCCCUGACUUCAUUAAUACUUACUAAGAAACUCUCGGUAAGAAUGCUCGCCACCCACCUUCCCUAUUCUUCUUCGUUUCAGUUGGUAAGACGUCGUGGGGCGUCAAUGUUGCUGCCGGUGGCCUUUUUGGCCACUGUUCCGUCUUUUCCGAUGACAACAACCACUUGAGAGGUGGCUGAAAGUGAGUAUGUUCGAGUAUAUUGAUUGUUUUCAGUAUUUGUGGUGUAGUAUACGCGUCAUUUGGCCGGAAAACCCACCACCACCACCAUGAGGUGGUGGUUGCCACCUAUUGCCGCCAUUCUGCCACCGCUAGCCACCAUCUCCUAUGGCUAUGUGCAUUUGGGUGCGGUUGGAUUGUUAUUUGGAAUACAUUUGUCCUUAUUUUGGCCAAGAAUCACAAACACCACCACCGUGAGGUGGUGGCUGCCGCCAUGAGCCGCCAUUGAACACCACCGUUCGAGGUGGCAGUGGGUGGUGCUCGACAUAGUGAAACCCUAAUCGGCCCAAUAGCUUAAUCUUGGACUUAUUUCGCUUGUGAUUGGGUUGGAAACCCUAAUUAGGGUUUAGAAAACCCUAAUUUUGGAAAUGUUAGUUCGGGACCCGCGUUUGGACUGUUAAAUUGGAAUUUAGAAUUAUGUCCGACUACAUUGUAUGAAUGGACUGGUGGAGUGAUGUACUUAAUGGAUUAAGUCCUUAGUGUGUUAAGUCCUUAAUGGGUUAAGUAAGAACACUUAACCCUAAUCGUCAUUUUAUGUGAAAACCCUAAUUAUGAUUGGGCUUCAAGUUGGUCCCUUCUUUUGGGCUUAGGUGUUUGGAUUCAUGUUGGGCCAUCUAAGAACAAGUAUAUGGACUAUUAUAUUUGGAUGGGCCUUAUUGUAAGUCCCAUGUAAGGGAUUUGGGCCCAAUUUAGAAAAUUGGGCCAUAAUUAGGCCUUGGUUGAUUAUUUGACUUUUGGGCCUUCAAAGUAUGAGUUUGAGCCUUGGUCUUGGACCAAGUUGGGUUAGGGGUAAAAUGGACUUUUUAACCCAAAUAUGGACUUAUGGUUAUGCAUUGGAACCCGAUUGUUAAUUGGGUUUUUUUUGAUGUUGACAAUUUAGGAAUCUGUUAGCCAACAGCCAGCAACCAAGGGCCGUCUGUAGUGCGAAGUGAGUUUCCUUUUGGUUUGAAUGGGUCAAAGGCACCAAUUUUGACCCGUGUAGUUUGUAUGCUCUUGAUAGGAACACGAAGUGUGGUCGGGGCCCGUAUCUCAUUAUUACCUGAGUAUAUGUAUCAGUCAGAUUGUUGGAUUACUAUACUUGUUGUCUGUGUGAUACCUAUAUGUGUUGUUAGGAAUGUGAGUGUGGGCAAGGCCCGCAUCUCUUCAUUAGUUGAGUGUGGGCGGCGCCCGUAUCUCAAAGCAUUAUUUGAGUAUGUAUAUAGGACUGAUUGAUAGAUUUGGCUAUACUUGUUUUCUGUGUGAUACUUGUAUGUAUAUUUAGUAGCUGAGUGUGGACGGGGCCCAUAUCUCAUAGUUAGUUGAGUGUGGGCGGGGCCCGUAUCUCGUAGUUAGUCGAGUGUGGGCAGGUAAUCGUAUCUCUUAGUUAGUUGAGUGUGGGCGGGGCCCGUAUCUCGUAGUUAGUCGAGUGUGGGCGGGGCUCGUAUCUCUUAGUUAGUUGAGUGUGGGCGGGACCCAUAUCUCAUAGUCAGCGGAGUGUAGGCGGGGCUCGUAUCUCCUAGUUAGCCGAGUUUAGGCAGGGCCCAUAUUUCCUUGAGUGUGGGUGGGGCACAUAUCUCUUAGUAGCAUGAUUAUGUGUAUGGUAUGUGGUGGUUUGGGGAGACUCACUAAGCUUCGUGCUAACAGUUUUCAGUUUUGGUUUCAGGUACUUCCAGUAGCAAGGGGAAGAGCUCGGGAUGACUACAGUGCACACACCAUUUGUUUAGCCUGGGAUGUUUUUACUCUGAUAUAUUGAUAUGAGUUUUGAUGAGAUACUCUGAUUUGAUACCAUGACUUAUGUUUUUGGAUGAAAUGAUUUUGAUAAUUAUGGUUAUUUUAAUAAAUAAAAAUGAAAUUUUUAGUCGUGAUUUUAUGGAUGUUACAAUUUGACUCAACACAUUAGUCAAAUCCAAGAGUUUUGAUUCCAAAUUUUGGGUGUUGCUAACUUCUUCAACAACUUGUGGAUAACUUCUCUUCAUGUCAUUUCGAGGCCCAAAGUUUCUUUAAUUUUGAGAAAUGGUACCAAAAAGAGAUCUUAUUUCUUAUGGUGUCUUAUUGAAUAUGUCACCUCCACUUGAAGCAUCAAUCAUCCUCUGAUCAUUUUCAUGCAUACCUCAUAAAAUUGUUGAAGACAUGGUUGUGCGGGUGUAUUGUGUUGAAAACAACUUAUACACAAGUUGUUGAAUCGCUCCCAAAAAUCAUCAAAUGUCUCAUGCUUCCCUUGAAAAAUCCCUAGAAUGUCACUCAUUUGACUUUAUAUUCGAGAGGUGGGAUAAAACUUGUUAUUAAAAGCUUUUGAGUAAAUCUUCCCAAGUAUGGAUAGAUCUCGAUGGUAAGUUGAACAACUAAUCUCUAGCUUUAUCUUCCAAGGUGAGUGGAAAGUCGGUUAACUUGAAAUCAUCCAAUGUCACAUGUUCGUGAGACAUACUAACACAUAUCAUAUGAAAAGACUUUAAGUGUCUUUGAGGAUAUUUUCUAUCUAAGCCAUGGAACUUGGUGAGUUAAUAUAUGAAACUUGACUUCAAUUCGAUUCCUCAACAGUUUGCAAGAUGAACAAUACCAAGAGGUGUGCGAGUAACAUUCGUUUCCAUUAUUUUUCUAUGUAUCAAAUCUUAAGGGGAUUGGGUGGAUUGAGGUUUUGUUGCAUGUAAUUGGGAGGUUGUUGGUAUGGUGGGUAUGGGUAUUGUUGGUGAUUGUACAUUUGUGGUAGAUAGGAUUGAUAGUUGGGGUAUUGGUUGUAGAAAGGGUUGUUGUUGUGGGUACAUAGGAUAUUGGUACAUUUGAGGUUGUUGUUAAAUGGGUUGUUAUUGUUGAAGGACUUGAUGUUGUUGAACAUGAAGAACAUUGUUUUGAGAUGUAACGCCUGGAUCUUGGUAUGUACUUAAAUUACUAUUUAUUCAAAUUAUAAGAUCAAAUCGACGAGUUGUAUGUCCCAAACUCGUCGAGUAUAGAUCAUAUGGGCUAUGUUAUUAAGUAACCUACUCAACGAGUUGAGAAGCCUCAAGUCGACAAGUAGGUCGGCUGGGAUGAAACCCUAAUUUCUAGGGUUCUGCACCCUAUUGAAAGGACUUAGUAUUUCCCCACCAACCCUCAUGAAUCUCCCUAAAACUCUAAAUCGUAUUGUGAGCUCCUUGUUGAGAAAUUAGAGGUUUUGAGUGGAUUUUUGUGUGUUCUUGUGCUUGGUGAAGGACUUGGAAGAACUAGAAGGUCAUUGAGCUUGAGGAGAAGCACUAGAUCUAGGAUCUUGUCCGUCUUUGGUAACUUUCUGAGGUAAAAAGUCUCAAACUUUAUGCUUAAUGGCUUAGAUAUCUCUUAGUCUUGUUUUAUGAGUAUUUUUGACCCCAUUGUUGGAAGCAUGAUAAACCUUCAUAGUCCUAAUGCUAAAGACUUCCAUUCCCAUUGUACUUGGUCCUUAGAUGCAUAAAAGGGGCCCUAAACCCGUUCUUGUCCAAGAAAAGACCAUAUCCAUAGAACUAGGUUGCUAUAUCUCGAGAUUGGGUCCAUUUGAGGCAUGUAAAGCCAUCAAGUUGUCGACUUUACAAAUGUAUACCAUGGAAACAAUGUAGAUCUAUAUUUUGGAACCUCAGAUCUGAGGAAAGGGAUUAAUUGUAAGUCCUUAAUUUGCCCGUGUAUCAGUCAGAUACGUUUGAUGGUGCGAAAUCCCAAUCAAACGGAUGAUGUCAGAUAAAAUAGAAGAGAAAGAGAAGAAGAAUAUUAUGAAUCUUGAAUAUAUUGAUAAUAUGAAUUGAGUUCCUUACACAAGAUUCACACACACAAUAGUUCUUCUAUCUCUCUGGCCGUAAACUCUCUAGGGUUCAUCAAUCAUCAAUCUCUACUCCUCACCCUAACACCUCUAUUUAUACAUAUUGGAUAUGGGCCGGAAACAAAUGGGUCGUAAAUGAGUUUACGGUCGUAAACUCAGCCGUAAACUAGACCGAAAAUUCCACAAUUAUUACACAAAAAUACAAUACCCAGAAAAGUAAAGUAUAAACCAUAUUUUGACCCAACAUUAAUAGACUAAGAACUAUGAGGAACUCGACGAGUUCAUGGAGGAACUCGACAAGUUGGGUUGAACAUUCCCGAUUCUGUUAAAGGAACUCGACGAGUCCACAAGGGAACUCGACGAGUUGUACCGGGAAAGUCUCGUUUCUGUUGAGAAGGAGAAACUCGGCGAGUUGGAGGAAAACUCGACGAGUUAGAUCUCGAUUUCAUGAUUCUGUGGAAUCGACGAGUUGAAGGGUAAACUCGACGAGUUGAGUCGACUCGGAGCGUUGACUUGACGUUGACUUUGACUUUGACUCGACCGAAGUUCACACUCAAGGGUUAUGAGUAUGGAAUGUUAUCUAAGGGGUUGUUUUGGUUCAGGGAGUGAGUAGAGUUGAUUCCGAGCAGAGACGUUUCAACUAUCAUCCGACAGUGAGGUGAGUUUCCUCCUGUAUGAACGGGUCGAAGGCACCUAUGUCGGCCCGUAUAUGUAUGAUAGUAUGUUCCGGGCUAAGGUCCGAUGUCGAGCAACGCCCGAUGUAGGUUUAUAUGUUUCCAGGUUUCGAUCCAAUGUCGGGCGGUGCCCGAGGAAUGUUUUUAUGCUUGAUGUCUUCGUGAUUCUUGCAUGUGUCUGUUUUGUAUGUUUCCGGAUUACGGUCCGAUGUCGGCCAAUGCCCGAGGAAUGUUUGUAUGCUUCUAGAUUUCAGUCUGAUGGCGGGCGGGGAACAGGGAAUAUUUAUAUGUUUAUGUUAUGUGAUUAUUUAUUUUUAUUUGUUGAUAUGUUUAUAUGUAUAUCGAGCUUUGCUCGAUCCCGGGCGGGGCCCGAUGUUGGACUUGUCUGAUGCCGGGCGGGGCCUAUGAUAUGUUAUUAUGUGAUUAUGUGUAUGGUAUAUGGUAGUUUGGGGAGACUCACUAAGUUUCGUGCUUACAGUUUUUAGUUUUGGUUUCAGGUACUUCCGGUAGCAAGGAGAAGAGCUCGGGAUAAAUGCAUUGCACACACCAUUAUGUUUAGCAUGGGAUGUUUUACUUUGAUAUAUUGACAUGUGUUUUUGAUAUGAUGUUUGAGAGACUAUGAUUUACAUUCUUAUGAGAAGAUUUUGAUA
rnacentral:lncRNA from 1 species